AUGCGUACGCGUUGGGUUCCACCAUAUUAUCAACGUGAAUUGCUUCAAAAAUUGCAGCGUUUAAGACAAGGGAAAAAUUCUGUAGAAGAAUAUUAUCAGGAAUUACAAACUGGCAUGAUUAGAUGUGGUAUUGUUGAGGAGAAUGAAGCUAUGCUUGCACGUUUUCUGGGUGGAUUAAAUAGAGAGAUUCAGACCAUUCUAGACUAUAAGGAGUAUACUAAUAUCACUCGUUUAUUCCAUCUUGCUUGUAAAGCUGAACGUGAAGUGCAGGAUCGACAAGCAUUGGGGCGAACUAACUUUUCUGCAGGCCGACCUUCAUCAUGGACACCACGUGCAUCUUCUACUUCAACUGCACCAGCACCUCCAUCCGGUGCCACCUCCAGCCGUGAUACAAGAAAACAGGCACAACCACCAUUAUCUGCCAAGAGCGCACCUGCGGGGCCUGCACAGCGUUCUUCUUCUUCCAUGGCAUCAACAGGGCACACAAGUGAUAUUAUUUGUCGUCGUUGUAAGGGAGGAGGUCAUUAUGCGAGAGAAUGCAAAUCUCCGAGUGUGAUGAUUGCUACCGCGGAUGGUGGAUAUGAGUCCGCUAGUGACUAUGAUGAGGAGACUUUGGCUCUUAUUACACGUGAAGAACAUGGUGGAGAUGAUUCUGAUCAUGAGACGCAAUACAUGGCUCCUGAAGACGCUGACAGGUAUGAAUGUUUAGUUGCUCAACGUGUUUUGAGUGUGCAGGUCACACAAGCUGAGCAAAAUCAGAGGCACAAUUUGUUCCAUACCAAGGGAGUUGUGAAGGAACGUUCUGUGCGCGUCAUCAUAGACGGAGGGAGCUGCAACAACUUGGCUAGCAUGGAGAUGGUGGAGAAGCUUUCUCUCACCACAAGACCACAUCCACAUCCUUACUACAUCCAAUGGUUCAACAACAGCGGCAAGGUUAAGGUAACACGUACUGUUCGUGUGCAUUUUAGUAUCUCUACAUAUGCUGAUUAUGUUGAUUGUGAUGUGGUACCUAUGCAAGCAUGUUCCUUAUUACUUGGUAGACCAUGGCAAUUUGAUAAAAAUUCUGUACACCAUGGUAGAAACAAUCAAUAUACUCUUGUUCAUAAGGAUAAAAAUAUUACUUUGCUUCCUAUGACUCCUGAUUCCAUUUUGAAAGAUGAUAUUAAUAGAGCUAAUAAAGCAAAACAAGAGACGAAUAAGAGUGAAAAUCAGAUUGUGGCAAAAGAAUUUGAGCAACAAAUGAAGCCUAAUAAUAAACCAUCUAGUGUUGCUUCUGAAAUUAAAUUGAAAAGUGCAUGUUUAUUUGCCACCAAAUCUGAUAUUGAUGAGCUAGAUUUCAGCAAAUCUGUUUGCUAUGCUUUUGUGUGCAAAGAGGCAUUAUUUUCAUUCGAGGACGUGCCUUCCUCUUUGCCUCCUGCUGUCACUAACAUUUUGCAGGAGUUCGCUGACGUCUUUCCACAAGACGUGCCACCGGGAUUACCGCCUAUUCGAGGGAUUGAGCAUCAGAUUGACUUAAUUCCCGGUGCUUCACUGCCAAACCGUGCACCAUACCGUACCAAUCCAGAGGAGACGAAGGAGAUUAUGCGUCAAGUACAAGAGCUUCUCGACAAAGGUUAUAUACGCGAAUCCCUUAGUCCUUGUGCUGUUCCUAUUAUUCUAGUGCCGAAAAAGGAUGGUACAUCACGUAUGUGUGUUGAUUGUAGAGGCAUUAAUAAUAUUACUAUUCGUUAUCGUCAUCCUAUUCCUAGGCUAGAUGAUAUGCUUGAUGAAUUGAGUGGCUCUACAGUAUUCUCCAAAGUUGAUUUGCGUAGUGGCUACCAUCAAAUUCGUAUGAAAUUGGGAGAUGAAUGGAAAACAGCAUUUAAAACUAAGUUUGGAUUAUAUGAGUGGUUAGUCAUGCCUUUUGGGUUAACUAAUGCACCUAGUACUUUCAUGAGAUUAAUGAACGAAGUUUUACGUGCUUUCAUUGGACGAUUUGUGGUAGUUUACUUUGAUGACAUAUUGAUCUAUAGCAGAUCUUUGGAAGAACAUUUGGAACAUUUACGUGCUGUUUUUAUUGCUCUACGUGAUGCACGUUUGUUUGGUAACCUUGGGAAGUGCACCUUUUGCACCGACCGAGUAUCUUUUCUUGGCUAUGUUGUUACUCCACAGGGAAUUGAAGUUGAUAAAGCCAAGAUUGAAGCUAUUGAGAGUUGGCCGCAGCCCAAAACGGUCACACAAGUGAGGAGUUUUCUUGGCCUCGCUGGAUUCUAUAGGCGUUUUGUGAGAGAUUUCAGCACCAUUGCUGCACCUCUCAAUGAGCUUACAAAGAAAGAUGUGCCUUUUCUUUGGGGUACCGCACAGGAAGAAGCCUUCACGGUAUUGAAAGAUAAGUUGACACAUGCUCCUUUACUCCAACUUACUGAUUUUAAUAAGACUUUUGAGCUUGAAUGUGAUGCUAGUGGAAUUGGAUUAGGAGGUGUGUUAUUACAAGAUGGCAAACCUGUUGCAUACUUUUCUGAAAAAUUGAGUGGGCCUAGUCUGAAUUAUUCUACUUAUGAUAAAGAAUUAUAUGCUCUUGUUCGGACUUUACAAACAUGGCAACAUUAUUUAUGGCCCAAGGAAUUUGUUAUACAUUCUGAUCAUGAAUCUUUGAAACACAUUAAAAGCCAAGCAAAACUGAACCAUGGACAUGCUAAAUGGGUUGAAUUCAUUGAGACUUUCCCUUAUGUCAUUAAACACAAGAAGGGUAAAGAAAAUGUUAUUGCUGAUGCAUUGUCUCGUCAUUAUACAAUGCUUUCACAACUUGAAUUUAAAAUAUUUGGUUUGGAGACCAUCAAAGAUCAAUAUGUGCAUGAUGCUGAAUUGAAAGAUGUAUUGCAGAAUUGUAAGGAAGGGAGAACUUGGAACAAGUUCGUUCUUAACGAUGGAUGUGUGUUUCGUGCUAACAAGCUAUGCAUUCCAGCUAGCUCCGUUCGUCUUUUGUUGUUGUAG
rnacentral:rRNA from 1 species